CGUCCUGGAAGUCACUCUGUAGACUAGGUUGGCCUCGAACUCACAGAGAUGCACCUGCCUUUUCCUUCCUGGUGCUGGCAUUAAAGGCGUAUGCCACCCCUGCCAGGCUCAGGUAUGUUCUUUUAACUAGGCUGACCUCUGUCUGCAUUUUUGGCCUAAGGAUAGAAUGGGAAAUAGUCAUCAAAUAGAAACAAGUUAACCACCCCAUACAGGUCUCUAUCCUUUUCCCCACCUACUCCUAAAAGGGUUUCUGUAAACAGGUCAGGUGUGGGAGCCAGUAGCUCCCUGAACCUUCUUAGGGAGUCUGGUGGGAUAAGAUUUCCUUCUCUUGAUUUCAUUGCACACAUAAUGUGUGCGGAGGGAGGGGAAAGAGGGAAUGUUAGGAAUCCUACUUAAUGAGCCAGUCUAAUGAGCUGCAAAUUUUAAGCUGAGCCCAUGUUGUGGUUGUUGUUGGGGGCAGGGUGCGAUGGGGUGUCAACCCUACUUUGAAAGCUCUCCUUGCACCACAGUGGUUGAUAGUGGAUAUUUUUAGAGAUCUCAUGAGAAGUACAUACUAGGUGGCAGAGGGUAGGUGAGGGGCUCCUGAAUAUGGCCCAUAGGUUAAGAGAAAUACUUCAGAAGUUGAUUUGCACAGGUAAAAUUCUCUUUGCUCAAGCCAGGUGUGGUAGGGCACACCUGCCACCUCAGUAUUUGGGAAGUAGAAGCAGGAGGACCAAGAGUUCAGGGCCAACCUCCACCAUGUAGUGAGUUUAAGGUCAGUUUGGGCCACAGGAGAUUCUAUUUCAAACAACAACUAAAGUAGUUAGACUUAUUAUUAAUAUUUUCAGACAAAGUCUCAUUAUGUAGCUGUGGUUAGCUUGCAAAUUGCUGUGUAGACCUGAUUGGCCUUGAACUCAGAUCUGCCUAUCUCUGCCUCUCAAAAGAUGGGAUUGAAGUAUCCUUAUAUUUCUUUUCUUUUCUUUUCUUUCUUUUCUUUUUUUUUUUUUUUUUUUGCAUGUAAGUCAAGUGUGUGUUCAUGGGGGUCCAAGGAGGCCAGAAAGGGUGCUCGAUUCUCUGGACUGGAGUUACUUGUUACUUAUGGUUGUGAAUAGUUUCUCAAGACAGGGUUUCUCUGUGCAGCCUUGGCUGUCCUAGAACUUGCUCUGUAGACCGGGUUGGCCUCAAACUCACAGGGAUUCACCUGCCUCGGCCUCCCAACUCUUGUGCGGUAUCUAUCAGAGAAGAGUUCUUGGGCACAAAUUUAAGCCAACAGAAGUCUUUAUUAGCCGGCUGGUGACUAAACACUGUGUGUUUGGGAUCCCAGUGUAGCCCCAAGCCUUUCUCAGGGUGAGCUUUUAAGCACAAAAGCUAUAUCCUGGGUUGACACACUUCAGUUAACAAGAACAGUUACCCAGAAGCAGAACUACAGAAGCCAAAGAGCAAGGUUAGUACAUUUUGAGACUUUCCAGGACCUAUGGACUUUGACGGAUUAAGUCUUUGUUUCUGGUUUGGCAGGUGGUACUGUCUGUAUGCUGAGUUUUAUGACUUGAAUGGUUUUCCCAUUAUGAAAUCAGUUGUGCUAAGGUCUGGGGGCCUUUUACACCCCCCUCAUGAAAGGUGUUGGGGCAGUUGGGUAGUUUAUCUGUGGAUAGGGCUACAUUCCUGCCUUCUUCCUACAGUUUUCUAUCUUAUGAUGGCUCCUCAUGGCUCUUGCUGAUGAUACCAGGGGUGUUUGUUAAGUCAUUAAGCUGAUUUUCACCUGGUUUGAAAUGUGUGGGUAUUGGAUAAGUCCAUCUCCCUGGUAGAGACCAGUCCAGGCCUACUGAGUCCCAAACUUGGCCUUGCAUUCAUGAGAAAUCCAUCAUCACUCUCCACUCGGGCCUGACUAUCAUUUGCUGUCAAGGGUCUCUUUAUGUAGCCUUGGUUGUGCUGGAGCUCACUAUGAAGACCAGGCUAACCUCCAAAUCACAGAUCUGCUUGCCUCUCUCUCCUGAGUGCUGGGAUUAAAGGACUGUGCCACCAACCACCAGAAGUUGAAAUUAGUAUGAAAAGAUCCUUUCCUACAGCCUCCAUGGGGCACAGGAUCCUACAAUACCUUGAUUUUUGAACUUUUGGCUUUCAGAACUCUGAGAGAAUAAAAUGCUGUUGUUCCAAGCCACCAGCCACAGGAAACUAAAAUACCAUAGAAGCCCACCUCUGCCCUCGUUGGCCUUUGCUUCCACCUCACUCGGAGAGAUUCCUGGCAGCUUUGUGCCGUCAGUCUGGAUUGUCAGCCCCCCUCAUUCAUUGACUCCUUCCUAGUUGGACUCAUCCUGUGUGAGAUGGAAAGAUAUAUCUAUCCCAAAAUGGUUCUCUGAUUGCCACAUGUAUGCUGUUGAAUAUGCAUUCCUCCCCACAAUAAUAAAAACAUCUUAGAGACAUGCAAACAAGCAAAAUGGGUUUGGUGAGAUGGUUCAGCAUACACCCACACAAGAGAUUAGUAGAUGUAAUAAAAAAAUUAAAAACAGAAUAAAUCAA